CGGAUAUUUUUCUCAGUGUUGUCUUGAUUUUCUUUCUUUGGUCAAUCGAUUUAAAAUCUUGAUGAUAUCGAAAAAUGUGGGAUGCACAUAUCAUUUCUACGAUGUAUAUUCAACCAGAAUCCGCCUUUCGGUAUAUUUGUUGCAUUUUUCUGAAGAAUUUCAGAAGAAAGAAGAAGAAUUUCAAAGCUUGUCUACAAACUCGACUAUUGGCACUAAGCAUCCACUGAGUCCCAUUUUUCUUUCAUAUGGGUACCUUCCUACUGCGCCUACAGAAACAGAAUUUUAUGUCUUACAAGUUAUUGCAAUU